rnacentral:tRNA from 1 species
AGAUAAGUGGCAUAGUGGAUAGUGCACCAGCCCUGGAAACUGGAGGAUCUGAGUUCAAAUCUUACCUCUG